rnacentral:rRNA from 1 species
AGAGUUUGAUCCUGGCUCAGGAUGAACGCUAGCGGCAGGCUUAACACAUGCAAGUCGAGGGGCAGCAUAAUGGAUAGCAAUAUCUAUGGUGGCGACCGGCGCACGGGUGCGUAACGCGUAUGCAACCUACCUUUAACAGGGGGAUAACACUGAGAAAUUGGUACUAAUACCCCAUAAUAUCAUAGAAGGCAUCUUUUAUGGUUGAAAAUUCCGAUGGUUAGAGAUGGGCAUGCGUUGUAUUAGCUAGUUGGUGGGGUAACGGCUCACCAAGGCGACGAUACAUAGGGGGACUGAGAGGUUAACCCCCCACACUGGUACUGAGACACGGACCAGACUCCUACGGGAGGCAGCAGUGAGGAAUAUUGGUCAAUGGACGCAAGUCUGAACCAGCCAUGCCGCGUGCAGGAUGACGGCUCUAUGAGUUGUAAACUGCUUUUGUACGAGGGUAAACGCAGAUACGUGUAUCUGCCUGAAAGUAUCGUACGAAUAAGGAUCGGCUAACUCCGUGCCAGCAGCCGCGGUAAUACGGAGGAUUCAAGCGUUAUCCGGAUUUAUUGGGUUUAAAGGGUGCGUAGGCGGUUUGAUAAGUUAGAGGUGAAAUUUCGGGGCUCAACCCUGAACGUGCCUCUAAUACUGUUGAGCUAGAGAGUAGUUGCGGUAGGCGGAAUGUAUGGUGUAGCGGUGAAAUGCUUAGAGAUCAUACAGAACACCGAUUGCGAAGGCAGCUUACCAAACUAUAUCUGACGUUGAGGCACGAAAGCGUGGGGAGCAAACAGGAUUAGAUACCCUGGUAGUCCACGCAGUAAACGAUGAUAACUCGUUGUCGGCGAUACACAGUCGGUGACUAAGCGAAAGCGAUAAGUUAUCCACCUGGGGAGUACGUUCGCAAGAAUGAAACUCAAAGGAAUUGACGGGGGCCCGCACAAGCGGAGGAACAUGUG